rnacentral:rRNA from 1 species
AUUGAACGCUGGCGGCAGGCCUAACACAUGCAAGUCGAACGAGUGGCGGACGGGUGAGUAAUGUCUGGGAAACUGCCCGAUGGAGGGGGAUAAAUACUGGAAACGGUAGCAAAUACCGCAUACCAUCGGCAGUGCCCAGAUGGGAUUAGCUCGUAGGUGGGGUAAAGGCUCACCUAGGCGACGAUCCCUAGCUGGUCUGAGCGGAUGACCAGCCACACUGUGACUGAGACACGGUCCAGAAUCCUACGGUAGGCAGCAGUGGGGAAUAUUGCACAAUGGGCGCAAGCCUGAUGCAGCCAUGCCGGUUGUAUGAAGAAGGCCUUCGGGUUGUAAAGUACUUUCAGCGAGGAGGCGUUACUCGCAGAAGAAGCACCGGCUAACUCCGUGCCAGCAGCCGCGGUAAUUC